UGAUAAACAUUUGAGUGAGUGGCGGACGGGUGAGUAACACGUGGGUAACCUGCCCUAAAGUGGGGGAUAACAUUUGGAAACAGAUGCUAAUACCGCAUAAAACCUAACACCGCAUGGUGCAGGGUUGAAAGAUGGUUUCGGCUAUCACUUUAGGAUGGACCCGCGGUGCAUUAGUUAGUUGGUGAGGUAAAGGCUCACCAAGACCGUGAUGCAUAGCCGACCUGAGAGGGUAAUCGGCCACACUGGGACUGAGACACGGCCCAGACUCCUACGGGAGGCAGCAGUAGGGAAUCUUCCACAAUGGACGAAAGUCUGAUGGAGCAACGCCGCGUGAGUGAAGAAGGUUUUCGGAUCGUAAAACUCUGUUGUUGGAGAAGAAUGUAUCUGAUAGUAACUGAUCAGGUAGUGACGGUAUCCAACCAGAAAGCCACGGCUAACUACGUGCCAGCAGCCGCGGUAAUACGUAGGUGGCAAGCGUUGUCCGGAUUUAUUGGGC
rnacentral:rRNA from 1 species